GACGAACGCUGGCGGCGUGCUUAACACAUGCAAGUCGAACGGAAAGGCCCUGCUUUUGUGGGGUGCUCGAGUGGCGAACGGGUGAGUAACACGUGAGUAACCUGCCCUUGACUUUGGGAUAACUUCAGGAAACUGGGGCUAAUACCGGAUAGGAGCUCCUGCUGCAUGGUGGGGGUUGGAAAGUUUCGGCGGUUGGGGAUGGACUCGCGGCUUAUCAGCUUGUUGGUGGGGUAGUGGCUUACCAAGGCUUUGACGGGUAGCCGGCCUGAGUGGGUGACCGGGCACAUUGGGACUGAGAUACGGCGCAGAGUCCUACGGGAGGCAGCAGUGGGGAAUAUGGCACAAUGGGCGGAAGCCUGAUGAAGCAACGCCGCGUGCGGGAUGAAGGCCUUCGGGUUGUAAACCGCUUUCGCCUGUGACGAAGCGUGAGUGACGGUAAUGGGUAAAGAAGCACCGGCUAACUACGUG
rnacentral:rRNA from 1 species